rnacentral:rRNA from 1 species
UACGGAGGGUGCAAGCGUUAUUCGGAAUAACUGGGCGUAAAGCGCACGCAGGCGGUUUGUUAAGCCAGAUGUGAAAGCCCCGAGCUCAACUCGGGAACUGCAUUUGGAACUGGCAAACUAGAGUCUUGUAGAGGGGGGUAGAAUUUCCAGUGUAGCGGUGAAAUGCGUAGAGAUUGGAAGGAAUACCAGUAGCGAAGGCGGCCCCCUGGACAAAGACUGACGCUCAGGUGCGAAAGCGUGGGGAGCAAACAGG